rnacentral:rRNA from 1 species
CGUAAACACGUGAGCAACCUGCCCCAGAGUCCGGGAUAACUUCGGGAAACCGAGGCUAAUACCGGAUGCCCUCAUCGGAUCUCCUGGUCUGAUGCGGAAAGAUUUAUCGCUCUGGGAGGGGCUCGCGGCCUAUCAGCUAGUUGGUGGGGUAACGGCCCACCAAGGCGACGACGGGUAGCUGGUCUGAGAGGACGAUCAGCCACACUGGGACUGAGACACGGCCCAG